UACGUAGGUGGCAAGCGUUGUCCGGAUUUACUGGGCGUAAAGAGCGCGCAGGCGGUCAAGUAAGUCGGAUGUGAAAGCCCCCGGCUCAACUGGGGAGGGUCAUUCGAUACUGCUCGACUCGAAGGCAGGAGAGGGAAGUGGAAUUCCCGGUGUAGUGGUGAAAUGCGUAGAUAUCGGGAGGAACACCAGUGGCGAAGGCGACUUUCUGGCCUGUUCUUGACGCUGAGGCGCGAAAGCUAGGGGAGCAAACGGG
rnacentral:rRNA from 1 species